AGUUUUGGGUUCGAAAAAUUUUGACGGUGGCGACCCCCCAAUUUCUUCAGAGCGUGGUGGUCACCAUCAAAAACUAAUUUAAUUCUCUGCGGUGGCCACCAAUGCGGCGGCGCUACGGUAUUUUCCCCACAUUCACCACCAAAAGUUCGGUGUUUGUACAGUAGUACGACGUGUAGGACUCUGUAUAGUACUUGUCUUAUGGAAAAUUUGUACAGCGUGACACAAGACGUUCCUGGAACUUUGUUCCGGAUUCGCCUGUCAGAUGGCUGAUUCCUCAGAGUUUUGUGAAUUUUCUUAUUAGUGAAAAAUGAUUAAUUAGUGUUUUUUCAAGCAAUUGACCAGCAGGAUUCCAGAGAACAGUACAGUAUUUCACAACUGAUUCAAAUCUUCGAAACUGGACAUUGUUGUUAACAACGUGAUUGGAAGAUGAAAGAACACCCUGGAACUCCACGUACUCAAAUAUAGUUCAGAUAAAACUGGAGCCAGCAGACGAUAAUCUGUUAAAUGACGAGAAGGACGGACACAUGUAAUUUUGCAAAGGUCUGCUGCUUCAGGUUCGGAGCAAUCUUUUCGGAAAUAUAUUUCCUAACACCGUAUGUUACCGAAAAUGUGCUGAAAUAGCUAAAUGUUAUGAAGAACUAAAGUAACUAAAAAUAUGUUCUCGGCAGCGAUUCGUACAUUAAUUGCACUGAUUUAAAUAAAUUUUUCAAAUGUUCUCCGUUUUGUAUGGUAUUCGCACUUUUACGAUUUGAGUAGCACAUUUUGUAUUUGGGUAUAUAAACAUUAAAUUUUUUCGUAUUUUAAUAAUUAAUAUUUCAAGUGGAACUUUUCACAAGUAAUCUAUGAUGUUGGAGUUAGAUUGGACUGAUCAUAUUUAACAUAACUUUCGUUUACAGAUAUUUGUUUUUCUGAUUUUAUAUCU